CAGUAGCCGCGGUAAUACGAAGGGGGCUAGCGUUGUUCGGAUUUACUGGGCGUAAAGGGUGCGUAGGCGGAUUGUUAAGUCAGGGGUGAAAUCCCGAGGCUCAACCUCGGAACUGCCUUUGAUACUGGUCAUCUUGAGUCCGGGAGAGGUGAGUGGAACUGCGAGUGUAGAGGUGAAAUUCGUAGAUAUUCGCAAGAACACCAGUGGCGAAGGCGGCUCACUGGCCCGGUACUGACGCUGAGGUGCGAAAGCGUGGGGAGCAAACAGGAUUAGAUACCCCCGUAGUCCCUGUCUCUUAUAC
rnacentral:rRNA from 1 species